AGCGAACGCUGGCGGCAGGCCUAACACAUGCAAGUCGAGCGCCCUUUCGGGGGAGCGGCGGACGGGUGAGUAACGCGUGGGAAUAUGCCCUUCUCUACGGAAUAGCCUCGGGAAACUGAGAGUAAUACCGUAUACGCCCUGUGGGGGAAAGAUUUAUCGGGGAAGGAUUAGCCCGCGUUGGAUUAGGUAGUUGGUGGGGUAAUGGCCUACCAAGCCGACGAUCCAUAGCUGGUUUGAGAGGAUGAUCAGCCACACUGGGACUGAGACACGGCCCAGACUCCUACGGGAGGCAGCAGUGGGGAAUCUUAGACAAUGGGGGCAACCCUGAUCUAGCCAUGCCGCGUGAGUGAUGAAGGCCUUAGGGUUGUAAAGCUCUUUCAGCUGGGAAGAUAAUGACGGUACCAGCAGAAGAAGCCCCGGCUAACUCCGUG
rnacentral:rRNA from 1 species